rnacentral:rRNA from 1 species
GACGAACGCUGGCGGCGUGCUUAACACAUGCAAGUCGAACGGAAAGGCCCUGCUUUUGUGGGGUGCUCGAGUGGCGAACGGGUGAGUAACACGUGAGUAACCUGCCCUUGACUUUGGGAUAACUUCAGGAAACUGGGGCUAAUACCGGAUAGGAGCUCCUGCUGCAUGGUGGGGGUUGGAAAGUUUCGGCGGUUGGGGAUGGACUAGCGGCUUAUCAGCUUGUUGGUUGGGUAGGUGCUUACCAAGGCUUUGACGGGUAGCCGGCCGGGGAGGUGGGACGGCCACAUUGCGCCUGCGGUACGGCCCAGACUCCUACGGUGGGCAGCAGUGGGGAAUAUUGCACAAUGGGCGGAAGCCUGAUGCAGCAACGCCGCGUGCGGGAUGACGGCCUUCGGGUUGUAAACCGCUUUCGCCUGUGACGAAGCGUGAGUGACGGUAAUGAGUAAAGAAGCACCGGCUAACUACGUG